AACGUAGGAGACAAACGUUAUCCGGAGUUACUGGGCGUAAAGGGCGUGUAGGUGGUUUCGUAAGUCUGGCGUGAAAUAUCUCGGCUUAACCGAGGCAGGUCGUCGGAUACUGCGGAACUAGAGGACGGUAGAAGCGUGUGGAAUUCCGGGUGUAGUGGUGAAAUGCGUAGAGAUCCGGAGGAACACCAGUGGCGAAGGCGACACGCUGGGCCGUACCUGACACUGAUGCGCGACAGCAUGGGGAGCAAACAGG
rnacentral:rRNA from 1 species